rnacentral:rRNA from 1 species
GACGAACGCUGGCGGCGUGCUUAACACAUGCAAGUCGAACGGAAAGGCCCUGCUUUUGCGGGGUGCUCGAGUGGCGAACGGGUGAGUAACACGUGAGUAACCUGCCCUUGACUUUGGGAUAACUUCAGGAAACUGGGGCUAAUACCGGAUAGGAGCUCCUGCUGCAUGGUGGGGGUUGGAAAGUUUCGGCGGUUGGGGAUGGACUCGCGGCUUAUCAGCUUGUUGGUGGGGUAGUGGCUUACCAAGGCUUUGACGGGUAGCCGGCCUGAGAGGGUGACCGGCCACCUUGGGCCUGAGAUACGGCCCAGACUCCUACGGGAGGCAGCAGUGGGGAAUAUUGCGCAAUGGGCGGAAGCCUGAUGCAGCAGCGCCGCGUGCGGGAUGACGGCCUUCGGGUUGUAAACCGCUUUCGCCUGUGACGAAGCGUGAGUGACGGUAAUGGGUAAGGAAGCACCGGCUAACUACGUG